GUAGGUAAUUAGUAGUAGUUAUGGAGAGUGUGGUGACUUCUGAUGAUCAUUUUGUUGGAACCUAGCGGAGGAAGCACACGUGAAAGUUACACUGCAAGUUGCAUGAGCCAAAGUAGUAUACUGAUGGAUUGGCCUAGAAAGGAAAAUAGGCAGAUGAGCCAAUAGAGAACAAACACAUUCGCUAUCGACAGCUUUCAUCCACCUACAACA
rnacentral:misc_RNA from 1 species